rnacentral:rRNA from 1 species
GACGAACGCUGGCGGCGUGCCUAAUACAUGCAAGUCGGACGCUUUUUCUUUCACCGGAGCUUGCUCCACCGAAAGAAAAAGAGUGGCGAACGGGUGAGUAACACGUGGGUAACCUGCCCAUCAGAAGGGGAUAGCGCUUGGAAACAGGUGCUAAUACCGUAUAACACUAUUUUCCGCAUGGAAGAAAGUUGAAAGGCGCUUUUGCGUCACUGAUGGAUGGACCCGCGGUGCAUUAGCUAGUUGGUGAGGUAACGGCUCACCAAGGCAACGAUGCAAAGCCGAACGGAGAGGGUGAUCGGCCACACUGGGACUGAGACACGGCCCAGACUCCUACGGGAGGCAGCAGUAGGGAAUCUUCGGCAAUGGACGAAAGUCUGACCGAGCAACGCCGCGUGAGUGAAGAAGGUUUUCGGAUCGUAAAACUCUGUUGUUAGAGAAGAACAAGGAUGAGAGUAGAACGUUCAUCCCUUGACGGUAUCUAACCAGAAAGCCACGGCUAACUACGUGCCAGCAGCCGCCGUAA